CUUGUGCAUUAGAAUUUGGCCAAAUUGUAGUUUAGCGGAAUUUUGGCCAAUCAGCUAUUCAGUUGAAUUCAGCAUUUCCAAUUUGCCAUAUGGAUGUAUAACGUAGUAAACAGCUAAUGCGAUGUUUGACAAACAAAAAUCUGCACACCAGUCAAGCCAUAAGACAUCUUUUCUUAAGUUAUGUGUGACAAAGUGUCCUUCACCACUUGUGCCUGGAGAGGACUAAUUGCCAGCCUCUUGCCGUAUGGCUAUGGCCCCUGGAAGAUUUUGCCCUUUAAAUACGUUAUUUGGGCAUAGUGGAUUUUAUUAGACUGGUUCUGGCCCUUUAAAUGCUCUGACAAAGGAUCUGCAGUUUUGCUAUGCACAUCGGAUGCAGAGUGUGAUGAAAAC